rnacentral:rRNA from 1 species
UACGUAGGGGGCAAACGUUGUCCGGAUUUACUGGGUGUAAAGGGUGCUCAGGCGGUUUUGUAAGUCAGAGGUGAAAUUUCGGGGCUCAACCCCGGACCUGCCUUUGAUACUGCAAAGCUUGUGUACGGAAGAGGCUGAUGGAAUUUCUGGUGUAGCGGUGAAAUGCGUAGAUAUGAGAAAGAACACCGGUGGCGAAGGCGGUCAGCUGGUCCGGUACAGACGCUAAAGCACGAAAGCGUGGGGAGCAAACAGG